rnacentral:hammerhead_ribozyme from 1 species
GUGCUGAUGAAGAGUCCCAAGCAGUAGGACGAAACAGCUGUCCGGUAC